UGGAAGUAAAAGUCGUAACAAGGUCUCCGUUGGUGAACCAGCGGAGGGAUCAUUACCGAGUUUACAACUCCCAAACCCAAUGUGAACGUUACCAAACUGUUGCCUCGGCGGGAUCUCUGCCCCGGGUGCGUCGCAGCCCCGGACCAAGGCGCCCGCCGGAGGACCAACCAAAACUCUUAUUGUAUACCCCCUCGCGGGUUUUUUUAUAAUCUGAGCCUUCUCGGCGCCUCUCGUAGGCGUUUCGAAAAUGAAUCAAAACUUUCAACAACGGAUCUCUUGGUUCUGGCAUCGAUGAAGAACGCAGCGAAAUGCGAUAAGUAAUGUGAAUUGCAGAAUUCAGUGAAUCAUCGAAUCUUUGAACGCACAUUGCGCCCGCCAGUAUUCUGGCGGGCAUGCCUGUCCGAGCGUCAUUUCAACCCUCGAACCCCUCCGGGGGGUCGGCGUUGGGGAUCGGCCCUCCCUUAGCGGGGUGGCCGUCUCCGAAAUACAGUGGCGGUCUCGCCGCAGCCUCUCCUGCGCAGUAGUUUGCACACUCGCAUCGGGAGCGCGGCGCGUCCACAGCCGUUAAACACCCAACUUCUGAAAUGUUGACCUCGGAUCAGGUAGGAAUACCCGCUGAACUUAAGCAUAUCAAUAAGCGGA
rnacentral:rRNA from 1 species